rnacentral:rRNA from 1 species
UACGUAGGGAGCAAGCGUUGUCCGGAAUCAUUGGGCGUAAAGAGCGCGUAGGCGGUCCGGUAAGUCGGUUGUGAAAACUGGGGGCUCAACCCUCAGAGGCCGACCGAUACUGCCGGGCUAGAGUCCGGAAGAGGCGAGUGGAAUUCCUGGUGUAGCGGUGAAAUGCGCAGAUAUCAGGAAGAACACCCGUGGCGAAGGCGGCUCUCUGGGACGGUACUGACGCUGAUGCGCGAAAGCGUGGGGAGCGAGCCGG